UGCUAAUUAUAGUAAUUUAGUCACAAAAAUGUUUCUAUUUUUUAUUUAAUUUAAUUUUUUUUUUUUUGACAGGUAAAAAAGGAAUAUAUAAAUAGAUGUCUUUCAUUGUACUCAAUAACUGUUUACAAAUAUCAGUUACUACAACUGCUCCUAUUGCCCUGGGCUUUUAAUUAGCACUAAUGUGUGAAGUCCAUUAAUUACAGGUAGUCUGUGGGAAGUCUGCCAGAUAAGACAGAGAGUGUUUGCUUGAAUCCAGAGACAAAAAUAAUGGUAUGAAGCAUCUUCCCAUGGAAUUACCAUUCUGCAUGUCUUACUGAAGUAUUUAUCAUUUCUAGGCCAUUUCCAUAGUCUGAAGUCAUUUAAAAGAAUCAAAAAGUGGUUUUGAACUUCCAUUGUUCCAAUGUCAGAAAUGAUAGGGAUAAAAAGACAAAUAUAUUGUAUUUAAUGUAACUGUGAAUUUCCUAAAAUAAAAUUAAUGUUUUAAA